CGGGGCUUAAAGUCUUGUAAUUGGAAUGAUGGGAAUUUAAACCUCUUCCAGAGUAUCAAUUGGAGGGCAAGUCUGGUGCCAGCAGCCGCGGUAAUUCCAGCUCCAAUAGCGUAUAUUAAAAUUGUUGCAGUUAAAAAGCUCGUAGUUGAAUUUCUGCUGCAUUGCUUGUGUCCCUCUGGGGUCUGUGCAUGUGGCUUUUUUCGGACGGAGUUUCUUUGUCUGAAUGUUUACUUUGAGAAAAUUAGAGUGCUCAAAGCAGGCUUUCGCCUUGAAUAGUUUAGCAUGGAAUAAUAAAGUAGGACUUUGGUUCUAUUUUGUUGGUUUUAGGUACCAAAGUAAUGGUUAAUAGGAACAGUUGGGGGCAUUCGUAUUUAACUGUCAGAGGUGAAAUUCUUAGAUUUGUUAAAGACGAACUACUGCGAAAGCAUCUGCCAAGGAUGUUUUCAUUAAUCAAGAAC
rnacentral:rRNA from 1 species